AGCAGUAGGGAAUCUUCCACAAUGGACGAAAGUCUGAUGGAGCAACGCCGCGUGAGUGAAGAAGGGUUUCGGCUCGUAAAACUACUGUUGUUAAAGAAGAACAUAUCUGAGAGUAACUGUUCAGGUAUUGACGGUAUUUAACCAGAAAGCCACGGCUAACUACGUGCCAG
rnacentral:rRNA from 1 species